AUAAAGAAUUCUUCAAGCUCCAGAGCGGAUAAUAUCAAUUGGUUGCUGUGAGAUCGCUUUUUUAAGUUGUUUUGGUUUCAGCAGUUGUAAGGUGUUGGCUUAUCCAAAAUGAAUCCUUCUCAAGGGUCUACCUUGUCUGCAAAUGUUGCGGGGUUUGUUGAUGGUUCGUCUGCAAAAAGAGAAGUCUCAUACAUUGACAGUCUACCUGUAUACGUUAAAGAGCUGAUAGCUGGAGGUGCUGCUGGUGCCUUUGCUAAGACUGCUGUUGCACCCUUGGAACGGAUCAAGAUACUCUUGCAGACUAGAACUGAAGGAUUUCAUUCUCUUGGAGUCCUUCAAUCUUUGAAGAAGGUGCUGAAGCAUGAAGGUGUUCGUGGAUUCUAUAAGGGAAAUGGAGCAAGCGUUGUUCGAAUUAUUCCUUAUGCAGCUCUGCAUUUCAUGACAUAUGAGCAGUAUAGGUGUUGGAUCUUGGAUAACUAUCCAGGCUUGGGAGUUGGGCCUCAUAUUGAUCUUUUAGCUGGUUCAGUAGCUGGAGGAACAGCUGUUUUAUGCACAUAUCCCUUGGACCUGGCACGAACAAAACUGGCUUACCAGACUACUGAUACAAGAAUGAGAAACUCUGGUUUAAGAAGUUACCAUACUCAACCUGCAUACAAUGGCAUCAAGGACGUUCUAGUGCGUGUUUAUAGAACUGGCGGGGCACGUGGCCUCUAUCGUGGUGUAGGUCCAACACUAACGGGAAUCCUUCCUUAUGCUGGUUUGAAG
rnacentral:misc_RNA from 1 species